rnacentral:rRNA from 1 species
GUGCCAGCAGCCGCGGUAAUACAGAGGUCCCGAGCGUUGUUCGGAUUCACUGGGCGUAAAGGGUGCGUAGGUGGCGAUGAAAGUUCGAUGUGAAAUCUCCGGGCUUAACCCGGAAAAGGCAUUGAAAACUAUGUUGCUUGAGGUUUGGAGGGGGGACUGGAAUUCUUGGUGUAGCAGUGAAAUGCGUAGAUAUCAAGAGGAACACCAGUGGCGAAGGCGGGUCCCUGGACAACACCUGACACUGAGGCACGAAAGCUAGGGGAGCAAACAGGAUUAGAAACCCGAGUAGUCC